GCCCAGGUGGCGGAAUUGGUAGACGCGCUAGCUUCAGGUGCUAGUGAGGGUAACCUCGUGGGAGUUCAAGUCUCCCUCUGGGCACCA
rnacentral:tRNA from 1 species